GCAGGACGCAGCGCUUCAGGCUUCAGUUGUGGGAACAGUCUGAGAGUCCAGAUCAGUCCGGUCUGCUGAAGAACGAGACUUUAGGGAGCACAACAACACGACACACACUAAACGGCCUGGUGCCAGGUCGACUGUACAACAUUACUGUGGUGACAGAGGGCGGCAAGCUGCAAAACAGCCGGACCAUCGAGGCUCAGACAGUGCCUUCUGCUGUUUUCAACCUCACCACUAACUACGAGAAUAGCACCACCUUGCUGUUGUCGUGGCAAAAGCCUAAAGGUGACCUGGACGCUCUCAUCGUCACGCUCACAUACAAUGGCACGAGGCUCUGGGAGACCACCCUGCCUGGGAACGUCACAGAAGUCACCAUCCAUCAGCUGACUCCUGGCUCAGCCUAUCAGCUUACAGUGACUUCUAGGAGUGGCAGACUGACAAACCAAUCAGAAAUCACUGUCAGGACAGCUCCAGCUCCAGCAUCCCUCCUCACCUUGUCUCCCUCUGCCUCUGGUG